CUCGAUAUUAUUUGGCUGCGGUGAUCGCCGUCGUGGCGGCGGCGAGAGUCGGCGCGGCGCUGGGCGAGAGUCGGCGCGGAGCUGGGCGCCGCCGUAAUGGGUGAUGCCCGAUACUGAUACACGUGGACCGCGCCAGACAGAAAGAGAGGAAAGAUUUUUACGUAACCACCAUUGGGCGAACAUUAGAAUAUACCUGUAGUCAGCACUGAA